ACAACUAUUUAAAAAAUCAACGGUCGCGAGAACAUUCUAGGAACUUGUGGAUGCAAAACCAGUGGUUUUGCUGGUAGUUUAUCCACGCGGAUAAGGAUUCACUUAGGCCCUCCGAUCAAAUUAAUCUCAUCCGUCCGUUUCUCCAAGGCGUUCUAUAAAUACCUUCGCCUCAACCCGCUUUCAGUACUUUAUCGUCUCCCAGUUACUGUUGUUUCUGCAUCGGGGAUUCUUUGCUGGUAGUUUAUCGUCUACUUUGUUUAAUGGUCUCUGCUAAUGGAUUUCGGUUUUCGGCUUCAUCUGUGACGGUUUAGAUCGUUGGUAGGGUUUGAAUUUGCGUCCCGUGUCGUUUAUUAAUUCUAGAGUACUGAUGGAUUGGAACACGGUUUGAAUCUCGAGUGACUCCUUUUCAAAGAUCUAGAUUAUAUGGUUUGGUGUCGGUUCACUAUUGAUUGUUUAUCGUCUGGCUUCGUUUCUGUUUUGUUUUUGGUUGCAUAUGUUUCCUGAAACUCAGAUGAAUCUCGACCGAUCUGUGAUCAAAGUUCGAUUGAUUAAGUGCGUGGUUCUCUGGUUUGGUUUCUCUUCGUGUUUCAUAAUUCAUUAUUUAGGACUUUUGCUUCCUUAAUCUCUGGUGAUGUUCUAAGUGGCUACCGUUUUGAUAGUGAAUCGAUGUGGAAUUCAUGACGUGCACAACUUUUGGUUUGUAGACAACGGAUCGGUCCCGAUUCUUUUGGGAUCUGGUUUGAUUUCACUUCAUGCUUAAUCGCAUAGGGUGUAUAUGUUCGGUUUCUUUCCUUCCGUCGUUUAUUAUGAAGAUAAUUUAAAGAUACUGUCAAUUAGACCGUUCCUGAAAGCCUUGCUAGUUGAUAUGUCCUAUUUUCAAUGUCCUAUUAUCGACAUGACAGCUAGAUGCAGGACUUGGAUUUACGAACGAGUUGUUCUCUAUACAUGGUUUGUAUUGUUGUAUUGUCCAUUACUCCCUAACCUGCUGUGCCAUCUGGAUACACUAUCGAAUGCUAAGCUGUGUGAUUUACGAUGAAGUUUCAGAUUCUGUAGGAUCCUCUCCUUGCUGAUUUAUUGAUGAAAGGAGGGCAUCUUUUGUUGGCUAUACUGUAUAUAUGAGUCUGUCAUCUUAUAUUUUGUGCUGGUUAUAACUUCCCAACUUUUCACCAGAUCCCUCCAGUGUGAUACCUUUAAGCUUUGGCCGGGCUACCUUCAAUUUACUUCUAUGAUGUCUGUUGCUGCGACAUAAGCUUUAUUCAUUUAGGGUUUAUAAGAUCAUUCCCUGUGUUCCUAUAUUCUACUUAUUUCCACCUUUGUUGAGGAGAGAUAGUUAGGUGCUGGUGGAUUUUGGUACUAACAGCCAGGCGAGCAUCAUUUCAUACAUGGAGGGAUGAUCUUGAUUGAUGAUUUAAUAUGUUUACUUCUUUUGUAGUUCUAAAUUUUAUUUUGGUACUCAAGCUCUUGGCUAAUCUGAUUAAUCUGCUUAUAUAUUUCAAAUUUUUGAUUAGGAUGGAAAACUCAAGCAACAAGUGAGGCAGCUCUAAGAGCUCUUAUUAUUAGAGAUAUAGAGAUGGUUGGGUAUGGGUUUUGCAACUAAAAUUAGUUUGGUUUUUGUGUGUUGAUGAGGUUUCAUAUGCAUGUUGCCCACUAUUUAGGAUUGCCUUUUCAUUUGGUUUAUGGGAAUUUUAAUAUUUGAAUAGUUGUUUUUGUUUUCACAAUUGCAUUUUUAAACUGCAUGAUUAAGCAAUAAUAUGUGUCAUGUCCUACAUUUUUUUAUACUAUUAUGUCUAUAUUCUUCGAGUGACUCUACCUAUGCUGGUAGAUGGUUCUUAUAUGCAGAGCUCCUAUAAUUUGGAAUGAUGCCUGUAUGAUCUUUAUGGCUAAGGUGAAGAGUUUAUGGUGAAUGGGAUAUUGGUUAAGUGUGUCAUUGCCAUGGUGCCCCAAUCUUGAAGCUGCAUGGGCAAGAGAGGGGGCUUUUGUUGGGAAGUAGUGAACUUUGAUGUUUUUCAUGAACUUGUUUCCUUUAAUAUUCUUCAAGUGACUGUUUCUAUACUAGUUGAUGGUUCUUUGUUACAGAACUUUGAUUAUUUGGAAAGUGGCCUCCAGCAGAAUGAUUAUGGCUAAGAUGAAGAGCUUGUGGUCCUGAUAUAUCAAUGAGUUACUGGUUGAGUGCCUGGUAUUGUUACUUUGUAGUAUCUGGAGAUUGGUUUCUUUCAAUGUAGGUCCUUACAUGUGCAUUCUGGUUUUGGAGUCUCUACCCUUGCCACAUACCAGAGGUUAUUGGUGCCUAGUAUUUGUUAUUCAACAGUAACUGCACAUUACUUUCUUUUAAAGGUUCCAUAGUAAGAUUUAUGUUCUUACACAGAAAUAGUGCCCUCUAUCUUGAUGGAGCCUGCAUGAGAAAGAAAAUGAUUCUCUUUUGCCGAACUUUCAUAAUAUUUGGAAAGUGCCCUCUGGAAUGUUUAUGGUUAUGUUGAAGAGCUUACGGUCCUGAUUAUGGAUGGGUUGUUUUUCAAGUGUCUGGUAUAUGGCUGCACUCUUGGUUUUUUAAGGUAGCCCCUUGCAUGUUCAUGCUGAUUUUGGAGUCUUGACAUAUAUACCAGAGGUUAUUGCUUCAUGCCUGGUAUUUUGGAAUCUUGACAUAUAUACCAGAGGUUAUUCCGUAGUAGCUUCACACUGGUUUUUGGAAUCAUGCAAUAUAUUAGAGAUUAUUGGUUGCAUUUGAUUUAGGCCUUGACAUGUUCACACUGGUUUUGGAAUCUUGCCUUAUGCACGUUAUUGGUUAGGAUGACCAUGUCCCAUGUUUAUGUAAUUUGCAUGCUGGAAUCUUCCCUAGGAUGACCAUCUCUUCUGAUGUCUGCACUUAUUUGGAUGCUAGUACGUCUCAUCCUUGUAUGCAGACCCCUUGUUGCUGAUCCUUGGCUGCAACAUGGUAGUUGGUGGGAUUGCUGGAUUUUUGAGGCUUGGCUUUUAAAAUCAUGACCUGAAUUCUGUCUCUUUGGUUUCUUCUUUAAUUAUGUGUAGACCUUGGAGAGAGAGUGAGAUAAUGUAACACAGGGAUUGUAUAUGCAGCUUUGUUGAUAGUCUUAUGUGAUAAUCGCUAUAUAAUAGAUUUAUUUGCUUAAUUUAUUUUAUGCAAUUUUUGUAUAACAUUGGUGAUAAUCGAAUAAUUGGUUAAAUAUAGUGUUAUUGUUAUAUA